AAACAUGUCUUUAUGAUUAAAAUUUAAAGUCGGGUCUGCUCCAUGAUUAAUAAUUAAAUAGCUGCAGUAUUUUGACUGUACAAAGGUAGCAUAAUCAUUAGUUUUUUAAUUGAAAGCUAGAAUGAAUGAUUUAAUAAGAAAAUAAUUGUCUCAAUUUUAAUAUUAUUAGAAUUUUUAUUUUAGUAAAAAUACUUAAAUGAAUUUAAAAGACGAGAAGACCCUAUAGAAUUUUAUAUAAUUAUACAUAUAUUAAUUUAAAUAAAAUAUUUAUUUAUAAUAAUUAUAUUGAGUUGGGGUAACUAAUAAAUUGAAUAAAUUUUAAAAAAAAAUAAAACAUUAAUUUAUGAAAAAAUGUUCUUAAAUUUAAAAAUAAUAGAAAAAAUUACCUUAGGGAUAACAGCGUUAUUUUUUUGGAGAGAUCAUAUUGAUAAAAAAGUUUGCGACCUCGAUGUUGAAUUAAGAUAAAAUUUUAAAGAAGAAUUUAAUAAUUUUUAGUCUGUUCGACUAUUAAAAUCUUACAUGAUCUGAGUUCAAAACCGGAGA
rnacentral:rRNA from 1 species